rnacentral:rRNA from 1 species
GUCUAUGGCCAUACCACCCUGAACGCGCCCAAUCUCGUCUGAUCUCGGAAGCUAGAUAUAACAUGGACAUUGUGCCCAUAUAAU